ACUGAUACUUCUAUUAAUGUUUACUUCACACUUCAUCUUCAUUGUUGUUUCAAUUUUUUACAUGUCGGCUUAUUUAAUUUCAAACCCAAUCAUGUGGGACCGCGUUAUGUUGCUAACAUUUUGGAGCGCAUUUUUUAUAGUUAAUGUUUUAUACAUCUGUAAUCAGUGCUACAACACCGUUGAAGAGACCAAACAAACUAAGAAAAUUAUUCACAAAAUUCAAAGCGAGAAUAUGACCGUCAUGGACGUGGUUGAAAUGUUUUCACAACAAAUUGAAAGUCACAACAUAUGUUUCACCGCAGUUGGAUUUUUCCGAAUAGAUCAUACUUUACUUUCCACAAUUGUUGGUGGAGCUACUACCUAUUUCAUUAUCCUCAUUCAGUUAUCGUCGUCUUUGUUGCCAAAUGACCCAAAAAAUACAACAAGCUAAUUUCACAUAAAUAAUUCAAAUGUAUCGAUUAAUCUAAAACAAUAAAAUGCUUGAUUAGCCUCCGGCG